CCUCCCAUGAUUUUGUGAUUCCAUACGCACUUAUAUAUAUGAAGAUAACAAUUUCUUCUAAAUUAUGUUGAUUUUUGUUACUCUUGAGUAAAAGAAAAGUAGACCUAGUGCUGCUAACUCGUUAUUUAUGUUAAUUGCAAUGACCAUUUUUAAAGAAGUGAUUUCUAUGAGCUGCAUACUAAUAUUUGAAUAGAUUCUGGAAAAAUAUGAGCUUUAUCCUGUAGUCUGCAAGAUUUCCCACUGAGUGUAAUGAAUUUUCAUCCUGGUAAUGAGUCAACAUCAGUAUAUCAGUGUUUGUAUUUUGUAUUUAAUUUACCUUAUUGCUUUUUAUAAAUUUAUUUAUUUUUAUCUAUAGGGAUUAAUUUUAUUGCUUUAAUUCUAGAAAUGUACAUAUUUGACACAUUUAAAAAGUAAUUGGGAAGUGGAAUGUAUCUGAAGUAAAAAUAAGAGUAGUGACAGAGUAAAACUAACUAUAUUCAAUUAUUUUCUUAUCUCAGAGAUAACUAUGAACAUUGCAUGCCAUUUUGAUGAUAUUUAGUCUCUUUUAUUUGGAGAGAAAUAACAAUGCUCUUCUCUGCUAUUACCACAGAAAUAAAACGCCUCUUCUCUAGGUCCCUCUACCUUCAUGGCAACAAAGACGUCCAGAUGACAGAUGGAGGAUCCUCUUGGUGUGGGCCUAAGAUGGCCUUUCAGAUGAUGAAGUAAAAAGAAGAAAUUAAGAGUUGCUACCACUGAAAUGCCAGGUUUUUGAUGAGCAUCAUAUUAAAAUGCAUUCUUUGAAGUGUUACUUAUUUCAGGUAAGAUUAUGGAGAAGGAGAAAAAUGCAGUACUAGUUAAUUUAUCUUAAACUCCUAAAAAUCAUGUGUGCCAUCAGAAAUAUCAGCUUGCAGAAAAAUUUGGAUUCCUUGUCCCCACAUUAAUUGUUUAACAAAAAAAAUGACCAGAUUUAUGAUGUUUUUUUUUAAAGAACAUUUUUAGCUAUUUCUAACUUCUGGAGGCUUUAUUUCUUAGUAAAUCAGGAAUCCUGUUUCUUGAGGAGCAUACUGAGGGGAACAAUGAGAAUGAAACUUUGACACAUUCUGACAAAACAGAGGAGAUAACGCUUUGAAAAUACACUUUUUCCUUCUGUGAACUCAGUAAGAACAGUGUGUUUUCAUCAGCUUCCUUAGAGUUUAAUGAAACAUUUACAUGCCAUAGUGAUAGCAUACUUAUUAGUUAAAGUAUCUGGAAAGCUUUGUAAUAUCCAGAGCUUUUGAAAAUGAGAGAUGCUGGUAGUUCAAGAUGCAAUUCAGUCUGUUAGCUGGAUAUGGUUGUCCUCCUUAGAUGCAGGUGAAUUGACUGUUAAAGGCCACGUGAGGUUUUAUGGCAACUGUAGAGGAAACUCUCUGUGGUCUGAGGAGAAAAUUCUCUCGGCUGCAACAGAAUUAAGCCUUAGGAGCCUGCAUUUCUUGUCAGCUGUGGAAAUUCAACCUCAUACAUUUCACUGUAGAUGAAAGUAUCUGCCUUGUGUGCUGUUCUUUCUGGGGCCAGGGGUUAACGCUUGCAAGUAUUUCUGCUACAUCUAAAUAAACCUGAAGUAAGGAUUUCUGGCGAUUGUGGCAACAUGCAAUUUGUUGUAUAAAUAGCAGCUCAAAUGCAAAUACUGGAAAAUGAGUAAGGAUAUGUAAGUAUAGUCUUUUGCCUGUACAAAUACAGUUUUCUGUGCUGCAUCCUCAUUCAGGCAGGCAAAAUAUACUAAUAGGUACACUACAGAGUUCAUUCCAAUAUGUAAGCCAGCUUUUGGGGGCAGUCAUGUGUGGAACCACGGGUUGGACAUGAUGAUCCUUACAGGUCCUUUCAAACUCGGGAUAUCCUCUGUUUCUGUGAUUAAGGAGUAACAAAAAAAUGUAUGCCUCAUCAGUUACUACUAGUGGCAGAACACCAACAAGAUACCUAGAGAUGCAAAAGAUGUGGUGAAUUGAUUCACAUAUAAUUGAAAGUAACAUUUACUGCAGCCUGGUUGUAUCACUGGUAGUAAAUCCUGAGUUAUUUUUUUUUCUCUAAGGAGUAUGAAAUCCAAAUUCUGGCAUGUAGUGAAUUUCUGAGUUUCCUUCCAUUUCCUCUUGAGAGUGCAAACCAUAUAUUUCAUUAUGACAUGAGAUUGAGAUUGCUUAGCAGAAGACUUUUUCUUGUAUAUUCAUCACCUACAAGGUACUGUAAAGAAAGAUAUUCCAAAGUCUACAUCCAGAUAUUGUUUUCUACUGAUUUAAUUCUGAUCAUUAAGAAAAAUUAGGGUUGUCACUUCACACUGUCAAAUUAGGUUCCUUCAUUUACUUUUAUGUAAGUUAUUUCUCUCUCUAUAUAUAUAUGUGUGCUUGUAUAUAGUGUAGGUAUAAUACAUAAAGCAUAGUCUACAUAGACUAUAUAACUUGUUAUCUAUGUAUGUAUACAUUAACUAUAUUCAUACAAAAAACUAUGUCUCUUAACUUUUUACAGAGAAUCCCACAGAAGUUGUACCAGAAGUGUCACAGAUAAAUAUAACUGCAACAUUGCUAGAAAAUGACUGUAAAUCUUCAGUAUCUUUUGACUGGGUAAAAUUAAGUUCUGAGCACUGCUAAGAAGUAGAUCUAGCAACAUCACCUCCAAUUCUCACCAGUCAUCAGCUGUGAACAUGACUUCCAAAGUUUCCAGCGCACAGAGUUUUAAUGACACGACUUACAGAUUAUGGAGUUUUUUGCAGCAUCAAGAGGAGAAAUGGAAAUGGAUGUGUUGUGGAGGGAAUCAGAGAGAAAAAUUGCAGCAUUUAGUUGAAAGAAAAAGGAAAAAUACUCCAGGAUGUUAAUUCCUGCCAUUCCCUUACUUACCAGCUUAGUAUCCUAUAAAAAACCUGGCUUCUCCAGAAAGUAUCAGCAGUAUUACAGCAACUGUGCAAUGAAUAUCAUCAUCCAAUCUUUCUUUGUUUUUAUUUUAUAAUAGUUACCUUAAAAAUGUACUAAUGGAAAGGAUGCUUGUAAAGUAUUUUCACAGCAGUCAGAAGCAUGAGUGCAUUUCAUGUAGACUGUGGCUAAUUUAUAGUUUAGCCACCUUUGGGAAGGUUAUUCAUAUUGCCAUGUGAUAAAGUACAGGUUUCCUCCUUGUGUGUAACUGUAUAUUUUCCACUUUUUUUUUUUUUUUUUUUUUUUUGCACUUAACAUCACACAGCUGCUUUGUUACCCAGUUCAAAGUGAGCAGUGAUACUGGCCUGAGUUAUCACAUGUUAACUUCUGUGCAGAUAUCCAAAAGACUCACUCAUUCAGGGAGAGCCCUGACUCUUCGUUUUUGGAUGAACCAAAGCAAGCUACCUCCUACCAAUUGAAAUGGCACUAAAAGAUUAAUAUAAAUUUGCUGUUGAUGAUGACGUACAGCUCCAGUUAGUGUUAAAGUAAUUAGUGGGAGCAUGCUGCCUUUUGUUAAUGAAGACUCAUGAAUUAAAUGCAUUGUGAAACACUUUCAGAACAAUUGUUUGGGCUUUCAGUGAUUUGAUGAAUGAAAAGUUUGUAGCAUUCAUGGUUUCACUUUACCAUGCCUCAGAGGUAAGUUAGCAAAGGAAAGUCGACAAAUGCUUUACUAACAUCUUCCCUAAGAAAAAGUUUAUUCCUGUCUUGUGCUCAGUUCUUGACCACUGUCUAUAAUCUGUACUAUAAUCUGUUAGUGCUGCUUGAGCCUCUGUGUAAUACACAGAGAGCUUGUAAGAUCCUUUUUGUAAAUCCCACAUAGUAUUAUUUGUGUGAUUAAGUGUUUAUGCCAUGAUAAGGAGCAAAUGAUCACAAAUACUACUGGGAGCAAAAAUAAUGUCCUCUGAUUUCAUUUGUGAAAGUAAAUGCAGUAUAUCUGAGUUUGAGUGACUAGCUUGAAAACCAAAAAAAAGGUGGGUUCCUGACAGGCAGCAAACCUCUCUGGAGAGAUUUUCUUGUGUGAGAGAUGGGUGCCUCAGUGCCCCUCAACAAAGAAUCUCCAAUUAUCAAGACCCUUUCUUCUUAUUUUAGUGGCACUGGUCACCAUUUGAGUCCUCGCUGGUCCUUACUUGAGCCAUCCUAGUGUCAUCACCCUUUUCCAUUUCCUAAGCUAGUAUUCAUGUCUUCUUAUUUCUCUCUCAUCAGUCUGAAGUCUACUAGCUAGUGGGACUUCAGGGUCUAGGGGAAGGCUUCUCUUUUUGCCCCAAGUAGAGAUGAGGGUCCAGCCUCCCUCAUGCUGCUCACGUUUGUCCUCUCUCUGGUCAGAUGAGUGCUUAACACCUUCCCCUGGCUGGACUCUAAGACAGGGCUGUCUGUCUUCCCACACAACUGUGUGAUACCAACCAUCAGUUUCCCUCUCUGAUUGCUGAAUACAACUCAGCCUGACAACCUCCACUGUUUACCUGGUCAUCUGCUAAGAAGAUGAUCCAGUUGGGCACAUCUGCAUGCAUGGCACUACCAAAGUUCUGGGCAGCCCUCUUGCUCCUCAGAAGAUCCUUCUGGGUGCACUUUUCAGACUUGAGAGGUAGUGGGCCUCCUGCCUCAGUUUCUGUCUCUGCCUUUCUGCUGUGCCAGGGGAUCACUGCAUUGCUACUAAUGGAGAGGUUUCCCCUUGUGACCCAUGAUAAGAAUAAGAAUGCAUCUGCCACAGAGCUGAGUACCUCAACUCCUUCUUCCUGCUUUUUUAUUUUUUUCCACCUUCAGAUUUUUCCGUUUAAUUACUUAGAGUGAAUGAGUUUUUAUGUCAUGAUAAAAACACCUUUCAUCCAUCUCCCUUCUUAUUCUGACUUGGAGGGCUGCCACAUUCCUAGGAGCAUCCUUUCCACAUCAUGUUUGCUUAAGCUUUUGAAGGAAAGCACACUAGAGAAAGAGAAGUACUACUUACAAAGAGCACUUUUCUCUGUUACUCCCACUCAUUUCUUAGUAGCUGAUUGGAGUAUAGGAAUCUGAUGUAUGUGAGAUGUAUAAGAAGGCAACUUUGUAUGUAUUUCUGAUCUUUUAUUAAACAAAUGGUAGCAAGUGGAGCAUGGUAUAUUAAAGUAUUUCACUGCCUGGAGAAAAUAUCUUGAAUGUGCCUUUAAAUAAGCAGAUCUUAAAUGGUGUAAAAUCUCAAAAAUGUAGUGCAAUAUUUUUUUUUAAUAGUGACUCUGUUGUUAGUGAUGACAAGUUAUACCUCUAAAUGUUAGAACAAAAUUGUUAAAGCACUGAUGGUCAAUUAAAUAAGAAAGUGGAAGUGGAGUCAGGAAAAAAAAAGUCAGGAAUCUGGUAUCUUCGUUGUUUAACUCCAAAUGUGAACAAACCAAUGCUUUCUUCAUCUGGACAACAGUUAUAAUCACACAGAAUCACAGAAUGUCCUGAGUUGGAAGGGACCUCGAGGAUCAUGAAGCUCCAGCACCCCUGCCAGGCAGGG